rnacentral:rRNA from 1 species
UACGGAGGGUGCGAGCGUUGUCCGGAAUCACUGGGCGUAAAGGGCGCGUAGGCGGCGCGGGAAGUCAUCGGUGAAAGUUCAGGGCUCAACUCUGAAUCGGCCGGUGAUACUCUCGUGCUCGAGCACUGUAGAGGCAGGUGGAAUUCCGGGUGUAGCGGUGGAAUGCGUAGAGAUCCGGAAGAACACCGGUGGCGAAGGCGGUUCUCUGGGCAUUACCUGACGCUGAGGAGCGAAAGUGUGGGGAGCGAACAGG